GCCAGUGUGGUGUAGAGGUUUGAGCACUGGACUACGAUUCUAGAGAUAACCAGGGUUCAAUUCCCAGCUCAGCUA